GUGCCAGCCGCCGCGGUAAGACGAACCGUGCGAACGUUAUUCGGAAUCACUGGGCUUAAAGCGCGUGUAGGCGGGCGGGCACGUCCGACGCUGAAAUCCCCCGGCUCAACCGGGGAAUGGGCGGGGAUACGACCAGCCUGGAGGGACGGAGGGGGACCUGGAACUUCCGGUGGAGCGGUGAAAUGCGUUGAGAUCGGAAGGAACGCCCGUGGCGAAAGCGAGGUCCUGGACGUCUACUGACGCUGAGACGCGAAAGCCAGGGGAGCGAACGGGAUUAGAAACCCCCGUAGUCC
rnacentral:rRNA from 1 species